AGCAAGCAGUAACUUGUUUGUUCUUACUGCACCAAGAGCAAGUAUACCAGGUGCAGCUGGUACCUUAUGGAUUAAGGUGGAACCCCUUUUCACCUUGAAAGAACAUCCUCUGAUUUGCCCAACGGAACAGAGACCAUGUGGGAAGAUGUCUUCCUCAUUAGUUUGAAUGUAGAAUGUUUUAGAUGAACAGAAACAGGAAAAGGAGUCUGGGCCUGAUACCCAAUCUUUCAUCACAAUUUGGAGAAAAGUAAUUUGAAGCAUCCCAAAAUGGACUCCUUUUAAAAUUAAGGAUUGAAAACCAUCUAGGAGACAAACCUAAUGCAAAACUAUGAGGAAGUUACUAAAUUGUGUUAAUUCAGAUGGGGAACUCCACCAUACAUUUGUGAGAAGCAUCAUUGCGUAAGCUCGGGUCCCAGGAUGCAUCAACAGAAAAAUACAAGUUGCACAUCAGUUUUCAUCUUUCUCUCUGCUUACUGACUGCAGAUGUAAUCAAUACGAACAUCUGCUCCACAUUGAUACGUCUAUGACUUUCUCACCAUGAUGGACUAAUGGACCCUGAAAAUAGAAGCCAAAGUAAAGCCUUUCAUCUGUAUGUUGCGUUUUGUGAGCAUUUUCUCUUAGGACAAGCAUUUUCUCUUAGGAUAUAUCUAUGGAAAAUUUGCCAUAGGUUUGAGACCAAGUUGGUUGAUAUAGUGAGCACAGUGCCAACCAUGAAUUCACAGUCGGACUCUGAUUCAAGAUAAAAAUUAAAAUAAAUAAGGAGAACGAAAUGUGAGGAAGAACUGUGGUUGAACUUGCUUGUUAGACGUGAAGGUCUAAAGAAGUGCUGGAGCUUAAGCAAUCACUUUGGGAAAUGUAUGUGUUCAUCAUAGACCAGAGAAAUGUGACAUUUUGGGGUGCUCUUUUCUCUAUUUAUGCAAUCUACAUUGUCCCAUGAGUAUAUCUCACCCCUUGUCAUGGUUUAUGAUGAAAUGUGAAAAACAAUCUAUUAUGAAAUUAUAUUUUUUCCUGAUAUUGGUUUAUUUCCAUGUUGAUUAAAUACAUAACACUCAAAGCAUUU
rnacentral:sRNA from 1 species